UGCAAGUCGAGGGGUAACAGAGAGUGCUUGCACUUUGCUGACGACCGGCGCACGGGUGCGUAACGCGUAUACAAUCUGCCUUGUACUGGAGAAUAGCCCAGAGAAAUUUGGAUUAAUGCUCCAUAACAUGUUUAAUUCGCAUGGAUUUUACAUUAAAGGUUACGGUACAAGAUGAGUAUGCGUCCUAUUAGUUAGUUGGUGUGGUAACGGCGCACCAAGACAGCGAUAGGUAGGGGCCCUGAGAGGGGGAUCCCCCACACUGGUACUGAGACACGGACCAGACUCCUACGGGAGGCAGCAGUGAGGAAUAUUGGACAAUGGAGGGAACUCUGAUCCAGCCAUGCCGCGUGCAGGAAGACUGCCCUAUGGGUUGUAAACUGCUUUUAUACGGGAAGAAACCGUGCUACGUGUAGCACCUUGACGGUACCGUAAGAAUAAGGAUCGGCUAACUCCGUGCCAGCAGCCGCGGUAAUACGGAGGAUCCAAGCGUUAUCCGGAAUCAUUGGGUUUAAAGGGUCCGUAGGUGGACUGGUCAGUCAGAGGUGAAAUCCUGCAGCUUAACUGUAGAACUGCCUUUGAUACUGCUAGUCUUGAAUCAUUGUGAAGUGGUUAGAAUAUGUAGUGUAGCGGUGAAAUGCAUAGAUAUUACAUAGAAUACCAAUUGCGAAGGCAGAUCACUAACAAUGUAUUGACACUGAUGGACGAAAGCGUAGGUAGCGAACGGGAUUAGAUACCCCGGUAGUCUACGCCGUAAACGAUGGAUACUAGCUGUGCGACUUCGGUUGCGUGGCUAAGCGAAAGUGAUAAGUAUCCCACCUG
rnacentral:rRNA from 1 species